rnacentral:tRNA from 1 species
GCCUGGGUGGCUCAGUCGGUUAAGUGUCUGCCUUCAGCUCAGGUCAUAAUCCCGGGGUCCUGGGAUCGAGCCCCAGCCCAGGUC